UAUGAUAAAGUUUUUGAAAUAUAUUAAAUACAUACAUAUUAUUUACAAAUUCAGCAGAAUGAUCCAAAAAUAUCUAUCCAGAUAAGCUAAGUAGAAAUAAAUGGAAUUAUUGAUUAGCUAAACAAAAUAAAAAAUUCUUGCUGUUCCAGGUAUUAUUUAAAUUCUAAUAUAAUAAUAAAUUGCUAGCUGAAAAAUCAAGAAAUUAAUUAUUAUUCAGAAGUUUUUUUUCCAAGUUGAGUUAUCAUUUACAGAACUGUCUUUAGUUGAACAGCUGUCGAACUUAUGCCGAACAUAGUUAAUCCAACCUCAAUCAGAUUGAUCUUUACUUGUACAGCUGAUAUACUUGUUGCCAUUAUAUUUGUUCCAACUAAAAAGAGCGAAUAUCUUUUGAAUUUGAUACCUAAUGAGAGAGAAAAUAAUUAAAAUUUGUAUAUUAAGUACGAGAAGAUUAAUAAUGUAUUUCUUAUAAUAAUAUUUACCCACAUACUGCAAACAUUCCACUAUUAUGAUGAA